UCUGUUGGCCAGGGGGAUUCCUGGCAGAGUGAUUUUUAGACUACAGGACUGAAUCACAUUGCCAGGGAUUUCCAAUGGCU
ensembl:miRNA mir23a-3 microRNA mir-23a-3